rnacentral:rRNA from 1 species
AACGAACGCUGGCGGCAUGCCUAACACAUGCAAGUCGAACGAGACCUUCGGGUCUAGUGGCGCACGGGUGCGUAACGCGUGGGAACCUGCCCUUAGGUUCGGAAUAACUCCCCGAAAGGGGUGCUAAUACCGGAUAAUUUCUUCUGACCAAAGAUUUAUCGCCUUUGGAUGGGCCCGCGUUGGAUUAGCUAGUUGGUAGGGUAAAAGCCUACCAAGGCGACGAUCCAUAGCUGGUCUGAGAGGAAGAUCAGCCACACUGGGACUGAGACACGGCCCAGACUCCUACGGGAGGCAGCAGUGGGGAAUAUUGGACAAUGGGCGAAAGCCUGAUCCAGCAAUGCCGCGUGAGUGAUGAAGGCCUUAGGGUUGUAAAGCUCUUUUACCCGGGAUGAUAAUGACAGUACCGGGAGAAUAAGCUCCGGCUAACUCCGUG